rnacentral:lncRNA from 10 species
GAGUGCCACCACUACACUCCAACCUGGGUGACAGAGCAAGACUCCAUCUCAAAAAAGAAAAAAAAAAAAAAAAGAGGGAGACUGAUUGAUGUAUCCAGUUUCUCAGAAAGAAACAUUUAAUAGCAACUUAGAAACAGAAGCCAGGCAGCCGUCAGUCAGUUAUCCCCGAGUCCCAGGGCUGAUAUACCUGAUGCAAAAGGUACACAUGCCUCAGUAGAAAUGUGUGGCACCACUGAAGUCAACCCCUCAGGGAAAGGCGCAGAAUGCUAUGUGAAUCUACCUAAGAGCAGGAUUUAAGGUCACAGUAGAUAAAGUGGCAAUCUUAGAGGAGGCAUUCCAGAACAGGGGUUAACCAGAGGACAACAUGGCGGAUCAGCAUCCAAGAUGGAGCAGCUUCAUCCUCCACGACAAUCCAGGCUGGGAUCUCUGUGUCUGAAACCCAGUGGAACUGCCCCUUGUUUCCGCCCUUGGAACCUCUUAGAAGGUGCCAUCCCUCUUAAGAGUCCAUGUGGUCCCAGCUUCCAAAGCACCACAUAAUUUAGCUCUUUUCUUUCUUUUUUUUUUUUUUUGAGACACAUAAUUGAGCUUUUUUCUUUUUUUUUUCACUCUUGUUGCUCAGGCUGGAAUGCAAUGGCUCCAUCUCGGCUCACCACAACCUCUGCCUCCUGGGUUCAAGUGAUUCUCCUGCCUCAGCCUUUCUGAGUAGCUGGGAUUACAAGCAUGUGCCACCAUGCCCGGAUAAUUUUGUGUUUUUAGUAGAGACGAGGUUUCUCCAUGUUGGUCAGGCUGGUUUCAAACUCCCGACCUCCUUCCUCGGCCUCCCAAAGUGCUGGGAUUACAGGCCUGAGCCACUGUACCCAGCCUAAUUUAGCUCUUUCCAUCUGCUUGAUUUAGCCAAGGCCACUUCCCUGUAACUUUCCACAGGUGAGAUGUUUGGGAGUGGGGAGGGCCGUUGUACUGCGUUUGGCAAUGAUCUAGGGGAGAGGAGUUGUGGUGAACAGGCCUGCUUCCUAAUCUCUCUUGUUGCCUUGGAUCGCCGGGCAGUGGGAAGCCGCUCAACUGGUUAGACUGUUGGGUUAGUCGUGGCCAUUCCUUCUCAGCUUCCUCUUUUUCUGUCAACCCCUUCAAUGUUGGGCUACCAGGCCCUGCACACUCCCCCUAGAUAACCUUACCCAUCCACAUACCAGUGCUUCCCAAAUAUUCAUCUCCAUCCCAGAUCUCUUCUGACCACCUCCUGGAUGCCUCCACCUACAUGUCUCAUUGACAUUUCAAACUGAACACAUCGUAAGCAAAGCACAUCAUCUUCCUCCCAGACAUGUCCCUAUCACAGGUAAUGACACUAUCUACCCAGUGGUUCAAGCAAGAAGCAUGGGCAUCAUCACUGGCUCCUCUCUCCCCACCCCUCUUCCCCAACACCCAGUUCGUGG